AGCUUUGCGCAGUGGCAGUAUCAUAGCCAAUGAGGCUUAUCCUAGGCGAUUAUUGCUAAUUAAAAAAGCGACUGUUUGGUCCAGGAGUGGUGGCUCACACCUAUAAUCCCAGCACUUUGGGAGUGCAAAGUGGGAGGAUCACUUGAU
rnacentral:snRNA from 1 species